rnacentral:rRNA from 1 species
GACGAACGCUGGCGGCGUGCUUAACACAUGCAAGUCGAACGGAAAGGCCCUGCUUUUGUGGGGUGCUCGAGUGGCGAACGGGUGAGUAACACGUGAGUAACCUGCUCUUGACUUUGGGAUAACUUCAGGAAACUGGGGCUAAUACCGGAUAGGAGCUCCUGCUGCAUGGUGGGGGUUGGAAAGUUUCGGCGGUUGGGGAUGGACUCGCGGCUUAUCAGCUUGUUGGUUGGGUAGUGGCUUACCAAGGCUUUGACGGGUAGCCGGCCUGAGAGGGUGACCGGGCACAUUGGUACUGAGGUACGGCGCAGAGUCCUACGGGAGGCAGCAGGGGGGAGUAUUGCACAAUGAGCGGAAGCCUGAUGAAGCAACGCCGCGUGCGGGAUGACGGCCUUCGGGUUGUAAACCGCUUUCGCCUGUGACGAAGCGUGAGUGACGGUAAUGGGUGAAGAAGCACCGGCUAACUACGUG